UUUCUGAAUUUCGGAACGUAUUUAAUAAAUUCUGUUUUAUCUAUGGUAUGGAUAUUUACUUUGCAAUAAUUUUCAUGACAUGAGACUACAUUUUGCUGCAAUUACAAGCGAUUUGAUCUGGUUUUGUUAUAAUUUCGUUUCAAUUUUAUGCGAAUAGGUACUGAGUUUAUAAAAGUAACAUAAUAUUGUCUUGUACUUAUAUAAUUAGUUUUUGUGUAUUUCGGAUUCCGUUUACAUCUAGGUACCUACUAUGUCGGGGUCCUACGAGAAAGCUGGCGUAUCAACGCCACGAAUAUUCAGGCGCCCGUAAAUCGUCAAAACGAGUGAAAAGCGCAUUCAGUUGGAUACAUGUGGACGACAAGAUAGUAAACCUGUAAAUUAUAACUCAAGUUGUGGCCAGCUUCAUUGUAAACAAACUUUAGUUUUCAAGUUCAAGGACAAAUGCGUGUCAGUAACAUGGAUAAAUGCUACUUCAUAUGUUUUAUUUCAGUCAAUGAACCUUUGACUGUUAUAGAAGUUUGUCGAGAUAAUAUAAUGACUUUAUCAGCAAUAUGAUGCCAAAGUUAAUACACUUUUUUAAAGAAUGUAUUCUGCCAGAAAUAGUUUUGAGACAUGUUCAAAAAAAUGCGAAAUGUAUACCUAGGUAUGAAAGCAGCUGUGUAGCGGUAGUUUCCAGGCAAUAAUGAGGAAGGAUGAGCGAAAACAACACGACAAAUGUUUUUUUAUUGUACUAUUAUAGUAGUGUGUUUAGAAUCUACAUUAUCAAUGUUUACAGUCAUGUUUUUUUUGAUGUCAGAAAACUGAAAUGGUGUACUCGUCGUAAUGAACAUAAUGUUCAUAAUGUGAUAUGAAUACAUUGACCUAUUUUAAGGUUUCUGAAAAACAAAAAGGAAAGUUGUUGCUUUUUUAUUUCCUUAUGUAGUAUAGUGAUUAUGGAUGCUUAGAUAUUCUCAAACAUUUUUCCGCUUUGAUUGCAAUCUAUUAUUCUGGUUGCCUUGUUUAUGAAUUAUAGUUUUGAAUUAUUAUUUUGAAUGAGAUUAUUUUUUAAUAAUCAGUCACGUAUCAAGCAUUCAUGUCACAUAAAUACUUGUAAUAAUUGCAGGUUAGUAUAUACAUUCUAUUAAAUAAUGUAUAAGAUAAUAAAAUAAAACUGUCUUACAUUGCA